rnacentral:rRNA from 1 species
UGGGGAAUUUUGGACAAUGGGGGCAACCCUGAUCCAGCAAUGCCGCGUGAGUGAAGAAGGCCUUCGGGUUGUAAAGCUCUUUUGUCAGGGAAGAAACGGUAGUAGCGAAUAACUAUUACUAAUGACGGUACCUGAAGAAUAAGCACCGGCUAACUACGUGCCAGCAGCCGCGGUAAUACGUAGGGUGCAAGCGUUAAUCGGAAUUACUGGGCGUAAAGCGUGCGCAGGCGGUUGUGUAAGUCAGGAUGUGAAAUCCCCGGGCUCAACCUGGGAAUUGCAUUUGGGACUGCACGGCUAGAGUGUGUCAGAGGGGGGUAGAAUUCCACGUGUAGCAGUGAAAUGCGUAGAUAUGUGGAGGAAUACCGAUGGCGAAGGCAGCCCCCUGGGAUAACACUGACGCUCAUGCACGAAAGCGUGGGGAGCAAACAGGAUUAGAUACCCUUGUAGUCCCUGAGCGGGCUGGCAAGGCGCAU